rnacentral:rRNA from 1 species
GAUGAACGCUGGCGGCGUGCCUAAUACAUGCAAGUCGAGCGAACAGACGAGGAGCUUGCUCCUCUGACGUUAGCGGCGGACGGGUGAGUAACACGUGGAUAACCUACCUAUAAGACUGGGAUAACUUCGGGAAACCGGAGCUAAUACCGGAUAAUAUAUUGAACCGCAUGGUUCAAUAGUGAAAGACGGUUUUGCUGUCACUUAUAGAUGGAUCCGCGCCGCAUUAGCUAGUUGGUAAGGUAACGGCUUACCAAGGCAACGAUGCGUAGCCGACCUGAGAGGGUGAUCGGCCACACUGGAACGGAGACACGGUCCAGACUCCUACGGGAGGCAGCAGUAGGGAAUCUUCCGCAAUGGGCGAAAGCCUGACGGAGAAACGCCGCGUGAGUGAUGAAGGUCUUCGGAUCGUAAAACUCUGUUAUUAGGGAAGAACAAAUGUGUAAGUAACUAUGCACGUCUUGACGGUACCUAAUCAGAAAGCCACGGCUAACUACGU